GAGUAGAGGUUGCGUUUUUCAAAAGUACCUCCGCGGAUGCGGCUCACGCAGACGAAGCGGCGGGAAAGGGGAAAACGCCGAAGGGAAGCGUUCUUGAGCGGACGCUGACCCUGGGCGCAGGGGAAAGACCUUUGCGACUGUCACCGGUUGGUGAAGAGCUGACGGGUGGUGAGCUG
rnacentral:ncRNA from 1 species